rnacentral:rRNA from 1 species
UACGGGGGGGGCAAGCGUUGUUCGGAAUUACUGGGCGUAAAGGGCUCGUAGGCGGCCAACUAAGUCAGACGUGAAAUCCCUCGGCUUAACCGGGGAACUGCGUCUGAUACUGGAUGGCUUGAGUUUGGGAGAGGGAUGCGGAAUUCCAGGUGUAGCGGUGAAAUGCGUAGAUAUCUGGAGGAACACCGGUGGCGAAGGCGGCCUGCUGGGCAGUUUAGCUGACACUGAGGCGCGACAGCGUGGGGAGCAAACAGG